GGUUAAGCGACUAAGCGUACACGGUGGAUGCCCUGGCAGUCAGAGGCGAUGAAGGACGUGCUAAUCUGCGAAAAGCGUCGGUAAGGUGAUAUGAACCGUUAUAGCCGGCGAUGUCCGAAUGGGGAAACCCAGUGCAAUUCGUUGCACUAUCGUUAACUGAAUACAUAGGUUAACGAGGCGAACCGGGGGAACUGAAACAUCUAAGUACCCCGAGGAAAAGAAAUCAACCGAGAUUCCCCCAGUAGCGGCGAGCGAACGGGGAGCAGCCCGGAGUCUGAAUCAGCUUGUGUGUUAGUGGAAGCGUCUGGAAAGUCGCAGGGUACAGGGUGAUACUCCCGUACACUAAAACACACAGGUUGUGAACUCGAAGAGUAGGGCGGGACACGUGGUAUCCUGUCUGAAUAUGGGGGGACCAUCCUCCAAGGCUAAAUACUCCUGACUGACCGAUAGUGAACCAGUACCGUGAGGGAAAGGCGAAAAGAACCCCGGCGAGGGGAGUGAAAAAGAACCUGAAACCGUGUACGUACAAGCAGUAGGAGCCCACUAGUUGGGUGACUGCGUACCUUUUGUAUAAUGGGUCAGCGACUUAUAUUCUGUAGCAAGGUUAACCGAAUAGGGGAGCCGCAGGGAAACCGAGUCUUAACUGGGCGUUAAGUUGCAGGGUAUAGACCCGAAACCCGGUGAUCUAGCCAUGGGCAGGUUGAAGGUUGGGUAACACUAACUGGAGGACCGAACCGACUAAUGUUGAAAAAUUAGCGGAUGACUUGUGGCUGGGGGUGAAAGGCCAAUCAAACCGGGAGAUAGCUGGUUCUCCCCGAAAGCUAUUUAGGUAGCGCCUCGUGAACUCAUCUUCGGGGGUAGAGCACUGUUUCGGCUAGGGGGUCAUCCCGACUUACCAACCCGAUGCAAACUACGAAUACCGAAGAAUGUUAUCACGGGAGACACACGGCGGGUGCUAACGUCCGUCGUGAAGAGGGAAACAACCCAGACCGCCAGCUAAGGUCCCAAAGUCAUGGUUAAGUGGGAAACGAUGUGGGAAGGCCCAGACAGCCAGGAUGUUGGCUUAGAAGCAGCCAUCAUUUAAAGAAAGCGUAAUAGCUCACUGGUCGAGUCGGCCUGCGCGGAAGAUGUAACGGGGCUAAACCAUGCACCGAAGCUGCGGCAGCGACGCUUAUGCGUUGUUGGGUAGGGGAGCGUUCUGUAAGCCGUUGAAGGUGGCCUGUGAGGGUUGCUGGAGGUAUCAGAAGUGCGAAUGCUGACAUAAGUAACGAUAAUGCGGGUGAAAAACCCGCACGCCGGAAGACCAAGGGUUCCUGUCCAACGUUAAUCGGGGCAGGGUGAGUCGACCCCUAAGGCGAGGCCGAAAGGCGUAGUCGAUGGGAAACAGGUUAAUAUUCCUGUACUUGGUGUUACUGCGAAGGGGGGACGGAGAAGGCUAUGUUGGCCGGGCGACGGUUGUCCCGGUUUAAGCAUGUAGGCGGAUGUUCCAGGUAAAUCCGGAACGUUACUAACGCUGAGGUGUGAUGACGAGGCACUACGGUGCUGAAGUGACAAAUGCCCUGCUUCCAGGAAAAGCCUCUAAGCAUCAGGUAACAUCAAAUCGUACCCCAAACCGACACAGGUGGUCAGGUAGAGAAUACCAAGGCGCUUGAGAGAACUCGGGUGAAGGAACUAGGCAAAAUGGUGCCGUAACUUCGGGAGAAGGCACGCUGAUGGUAGGUGAAGUGACUUGCUCAUGGAGCUGAAAUCAGUCGAAGAUACCAGCUGGCUGCAACUGUUUAUUAAAAACACAGCACUGUGCAAACACGAAAGUGGACGUAUACGGUGUGACGCCUGCCCGGUGCCGGAAGGUUAAUUGAUGGGGUUAUCCUCGCGGAGAAGCUCUUGAUCGAAGCCCCGGUAAACGGCGGCCGUAACUAUAACGGUCCUAAGGUAGCGAAAUUCCUUGUCGGGUAAGUUCCGACCUGCACGAAUGGCGUAAUGAUGGCCAGGCUGUCUCCACCCGAGACUCAGUGAAAUUGAACUCGCUGUGAAGAUGCAGUGUACCCGCGGCAAGACGGAAAGACCCCGUGAACCUUUACUAUAGCUUGACACUGAACACUGGUCCUUGAUGUGUAGGAUAGGUGGGAGGCUUUGAAGUGUGGACGCCAGUCUGCAUGGAGCCAUCCUUGAAAUACCACCCUUUAAUGGCUGGUGUUCUAACGUGGGCCCCUAAUCGGGGUUGCGGACAGUGUCUGGUGGGUAGUUUGACUGGGGCGGUCUCCUCCUAAAGAGUAACGGAGGAGCACGAAGGUCAGCUAAUCCUGGUCGGACAUCAGGAGGUUAGUGCAAUGGCAUAAGCUGGCUUGACUGCGAGCGUGACGGCGCGAGCAGGUGCGAAAGCAGGUCAUAGUGAUCCGGUGGUUCUGAAUGGAAGGGCCAUCGCUCAACGGAUAAAAGGUACUCCGGGGAUAACAGGCUGAUACCGCCCAAGAGUUCAUAUCGACGGCGGUGUUUGGCACCUCGAUGUCGGCUCAUCACAUCCUGGGGCUGAAGUAGGUCCCAAGGGUAUGGCUGUUCGCCAUUUAAAGUGGUACGCGAGCUGGGUUUAGAACGUCGUGAGACAGUUCGGUCCCUAUCUGCCGUGGGCGCUGGAGAAUUGAGGGGGGCUGCUCCUAGUACGAGAGGACCGGAGUGGACGCAUCACUGGUGUUCGGGUUGUCAUGCCAAUGGCAUUGCCCGGUAGCUAAAUGCGGAAGAGAUAAGUGCUGAAAGCAUCUAAGCACGAAACUUGCCCCGAGAUGAGUUCUCCCUGACUCCUUGAGAGUCCUGAAGGAACGUUGAAGACGACGACGUUGAUAGGCCGGGUGUGUAAGCGCAGCGAUGCGUUGAGCUAACCGGUACUAAUGAACCGUGAGGCUUAACCUU
rnacentral:rRNA from 1 species